CUGAACUCGAGUAGGGCCCAAGCAAGCCAGGAAGGAGGAGGCAGCCAGAGUGGCCACCACUGUUCUCUCCAGCAGAAGACCCCCUGCUGCCCUGCUGAACCCAGCAUUUGCCAGGAGUGGGACAGAAAUCAAAGUCAAAGCAAAUUAAAGGAGAGAAGAGAGAGAGAAAAUACAGUGUGAGUGAUCACCCGUGAGGAAGGAAGCGGGGAACACACACACACACGCAUACGAGUGAAGCCAUCUCGGGAGAACAAAAUUCUGGCAAGGCAGCGAAAUCUCGGCCAGGCACCUUUGCAAUCUGCUCCAAGGCGAACCCUGCAUCGCAGUAGCUCGGCCGCUGCAGAUAUUCCAGAUCGGGCGGUGCGGCGCGUCUGUUCCCGCCGGU